rfam:Lingula anatina scaffold1, whole genome shotgun sequence.
AGUGUCUAUGAUGAUUAGACUCUCACCAUCUUUCGUUUGAAAAUCAUGAAACCAAAAACAUGCACUACCAACUGAGACACU